CAGGAUCCACAUAAUGAUAAAACGUCAAAGACUGGAGACAAUUACACACCUCUAUGCCAUUACUGGGAGACUUGAGAAAGAAUGGGUUAUUUGAGGUUUUAAAAAAUGAACGGCAGCAUGGCAAAGUCAAAUCUCUUUCCCUCAGAGUGCGUUGCCAGCGGCUCCUGCAUGAACAUUGUCCUGAUUGCACAACACUCAGACUGCCAUCUGCAAGCUAUUUAUGGGUGUUUGGCAUCUAUAAAAGGAAAUCAAGAAUGAUCCACACACGAGCAGUAAAACACACUUAACUUCAUGGGGGUGGGUGGGGGGGUGUCACUGAUUUGUUCUCGUUUCAAGUCUUGUUUUGAAAUCUGGAUUGGAGCAGAUCUUCAGGAGUAUGAAGGUUGUAAUUAUGAAUGCGAGGAAGGUAAGACUGAUUGCAAAUUUGAAUUUUCCAUUUAGUAAACCGUCCUGUAAGGUGAAAAUAUUAUCUAUUACCGACCAGAAAGAUGGACAAUUUGUGGGUUUACUUUGCCCCCCCCUCCCAGCAGUCACCAGUCUCACUCACAUAAACAGACGGUUUAUAUUCAGCUGCUGUGGCUUGAUACUUAACCGGCUAUUUCCCUUCACGCUGGGAUAAACAACAACACAGCUUUCGGAGGAAACUCAAUGCCUUUUAAUGUGGGAGUAUCUGUGGACUUCAAUAAAUUAUUACACAUUUCUGGUAACUGAGAUUAAGAAAAUAAAUCUUUCUUCCCACGUUCUGUAAUAGAAUGUGACCCUUACUGACAGUUGUGUCUGUUUAACUUGAGCAUGAGACCUAUAAUCUAAAAACUUAUUUAUAGUCUUUUGAGAAAGCCCGAUGUCUUCAGAAGUGGCUGGCACUGGUCUAUAUUUGCACACGCUAUCUGCUUUGCAGGGAGGGCGGUUUGUGUUGGUCUGUAAUUAAAACCGAAUUCUUUUUGCUCUGGUGUUUCCCUGAUCUGAUAAAAACAGGUGUGGGAGAAGAAGCUGGUAAUGGUUGCAGCAGGAGCACCAGAUAAAUCUACUACUUUCUCAUUUGUACCAGAGGUGCACAGAUUACCUGCUCAAAUCAUUUUUACCGAGGAGGAUGCAUCCCAAGCUCUGGCUGUGAAAUCAGAUACGGUACAGUCGAAGCAUAAACUGAGAAGCUUUUCUGCAGCUUCUUUUCUGCUCCAUUCUCCAGCUGUUUUAACAAGGAAAUCUUUAAAAGCAUCUCUCCAGCUUCUGUCUGCAAUUAUUUGCAACCACUCUGUUUGAAGUAUUGGAUUUGCUGAAUCUAAAAAAAACCUUCCUUUAUGUCUGCACUUUCACACUUUUAAAUAACCAUAAUUUCAUUUCAUAAACAUGUGAUCCCUUAAUUUCAUCAAUCAUUCAGGUUUUCUUGUGUAUUAUUAUCCUCAAACCUUCAGUUUCAAAGACUAAAACAAAAAGGUGGUGUCCAUUGUCAGAAAAUAAUUGACGACUCAGAGGCCUUCACGUCAGACUUUUGUCUCUGCAAAGUCCUAUAAUUUCAGAUGAUGGACACCUCGAAAGGCCAUUAUUCUGUUUAUUCUAUGGUCAUUUAUAAAAGAUAUAAAUACAAAAUCAAUUAUCAGUAAUUUACUGUAAUUUUUAAAGCUGAAUUUUUUUUUUUACAAGAAGCAAAUAAUUUAAUAUGACCACCCUGCAAAGGAAAGUUUAAUAUAUGCUUUACGGGAUGUUAAGUGACACAAAGCAUUACUUCAGGGGAAAGUUCACCUCUUAUUGAUUGUUUUCGUCCAGAUGAUGCAAAAAUGAGCUUCGUAGAAACAAUUUACAAGUAGUUUCUUAGAUCACUUUAAUUCUGAGAAAUGUUCACCAUCAACUCUGAUCAUUACAUCUGUAUCAACAAACAAAGAUUUUAUAUCAUUAAUUAAAAAUGACAGCUUUAAUAAUUACUUUUGCUUUUUUUAUACGAGCAGAAGGUGAAGUUCUCAUCACAAACACCUGCAGCACCUACCAAUGAGAAAAACAUGAACUAAAAUCCCAUCUUUGUUGUGCACCACAUGCAUUGAACAUGACAUUUGCUUAACUUGCUGUCUAAUGUUCCUUUAAUUGUCUGUUCUUUGUGACAUUAAAUGUUAAUCUACAGGAUCGCACAAAAGAAACAAUUCUGUAGUGUCUAAGUAUUUAGGACACCUGAUAAAAUAUUUUCCAAAAUUUAACAAAGUUUUUGACAUGAACAUAUCAUGUUAAGAGGAAUCACUGCAGGGCAAACAACGCAGAUGAAAACGGCCCCCCACGGGUGCUCAUGUCAGCCCCCCGUGGUGUCGGUUUCUGGAGGGCUUAAAGAGCACUUGGAUGUUUAUCCAUCACCAGCGUCAGAACAGCACUGCAGUGCUGGAUGCCAGAAGGCGUCUUGUUGGCUGCCUGCAUAAAAACUUCAAAGGUGUUUUUCUGCAGGGGGGUGGCGCCUUGGGUUUCACAACUUCCUCUUUUGCCAUUAGUGGCAGCCCUUCUGUGACAAAUGGCAAAAAGGGCAAUCUAAAUGUUUGAUCUUAUCAACUGGUUAGGAGUUUUAGAACGAGCUCUUGUUCAGCUGAAACAACAUUUCAUUGGUGGCAAAUAUUUUAUAAUUUUUUUAAAGAAAUUAGUGUAUGUUAUUCUUUGAGGCUCUAUAGCAGUGGUUCCCAACCCCCAGACUGGUACCAGUCCGUGGGACAGUUGCUACCGGGCCGCAGAGAAAAAAAGCCCAUCUUACAUUUUUUCCAUUUUAUUUAUAAUCUGAUUCUGAAGGAAGUUUUAUUUUAGGAAACUACUAUUUGGAAUCUGUGAGUAAAUUUGAGUAUACUGUAUGUAUUGAAUAAAAACUAUGAUAAAAGUAUUAAUACUUGGUACCGAUAGUAUCAAUACUCAGAUCAAUACACCCACCCCUACUCCCCACCACAUCCAACUCAUUCUUGACGGAAAUCACGUUGCUCGGUCACGUGUCGACAAUUCAUCCUCUUUCUUUAAGUGGCUGCACCGACCGCUAAAUUGAAACUUUUAAGAUAACAAAGUUAACAAAAAACAAACGUAUUUGAAAGAUUUCAACAGAAGAAGUGCCUUUAACUUUAUUGAACAAAAAUUCUACAUUUAAUGGACAAAAGCCAGGAGUCUUUAA
rnacentral:lncRNA from 1 species